UAGGCCAGGCGAUUGACCCAGCGAGGGAUCUCCCUGCCACACAGGAUCUGAGAAGAAAGACAGGAAGGAAGAAGGGAAAGUUUUAAGCACUUGUCAGUGUUGUGAGAAUGCUGUGGAGGAAAUGAAUCUGAAACAAUGACUGCAUAACCAGAAACUACAUCCUGCCUGUGUCUUGAACUUCCAGGAAACUGAAUCAGAUUUCCUGACUUUCUAUGCCAUAAAUAAAUCAGUAAUAUGACUCUGUG